rnacentral:rRNA from 1 species
CCUACGGGUGGCAGCAGUCGAGAAUCUUGCGCAAUGGGCGAAAGCCUGACGCUGCGACGCCGCGUGAGGGAUUGAGGUCUUCGGAUCGUAAACCUCUGUCCACAGGGAAGAACGGUCACUGUGCUAAUCAGCAGUGAAUUGACGGUACCUGCAAAGGAAGCACCGGCUAACUCCGUCCCAGCAGCCGCGGUAAUACGGAGGGUACGAGCGUUAAUCGGAAUUACUGGGCGUAAAGCGUUCGUAGGCGGUAUGGUAAGUCAAGGGUGAAAUCCCCGCGCUCAACGUGGGAACGGCCUUUGAAACUGGCAAACUGGAGUGUGGGAGAGGAUAGUGGAAUUCCAGGUGUAGGAGUGAAAUGCGUAGAUAUCUGGAGGAACAUCAGUGGCGAAGGCGAGUAUCUGGCAAAUAACUGACGCUGAGGAGCGAAAGCGUGGGGAGCAAAAAGGAUUAGAUACCCUUGUAGUC